AGCGAACGCUAGCGGCGGGCCUAACACAUGCAAGUCGAGCGCAUACCUUCGGGUAUGAGCGGCGGACGGGUGAGUAACACGUAGGUAAUCUACCCUUUGGUGGGGAAUAACCCGGGGAAACUCGGGCUAAUGCCGCACGAGGUCUACGGAUCAAAGCCCUCGGGCGCCAGAGGAUGAGCCUGCGUUGCAUUACCUAGUUGGCGGGGUAACGGCCCACCAAGGGGACGAUGCAUAGCUGGUCUGAGAGGAUGAUCAGCCACACUGGGACUGAGACACGGCCCAGACUCCUACGGGAGGCAGCAGUGGGGAAUAUUGCGCAAUGGGGGGAAACCCUGACGCAGCUACGCCGCGUGGGUGAUGAAGGCCUUCGGGUUGUAAAGCCCUGUCGGGAGGGACGAAGUACUGACGGUACCUCCCAAGAAAGCACCGGCUAACUCCGUGCCAGCAGCCGCGGUAAU
rnacentral:rRNA from 1 species